GCAUUCAUGGUUGAAUGGUUAAUGUGCUCAACUCAUAAUUGACGAAUUCGUAAGUUCAAUUCUUACUGGAUGCA